UGGGGAAUAUUGGACAAUGGGGGAAACCCUGAUCCAGCAAUGCCGCGUGAAUGAUGAAGGCCUUAGGGUUGUAAAGUUCUUUUACCUGUGAAGAUGAUGACGGUAACAGGAGAAAAAGCACCGGCUAACUUCGUGCCAGCAGCCGCGGUAAGACGAAGGGUGCUAGCGUUGUUCGGAAUGACUGGGCGUAAAGGGCGCGUAGGCGGUCUUUUAAGUUAGGCGUGAAAGCCCCGGGCUUAACCCGGGACGUGCGCUUAAGACUGAAAGGCUUGAGUAUGGAAGAGGUAAGUGGAAUUCCUAGUGUAGAGGUGAAAUUCGUAGAUAUUAGGAAGAACACCAGUGGCGAAGGCGGCUUACUGGUCCAUUACUGACGCUGAGGCGCGAAAGUGUGGGGAGCAAACAGG
rnacentral:rRNA from 1 species